CAUUUAAUUGGAUGAUCCCCCUCAAACCUUACCAUCUCUUGAAUUAUUAACCGGCGUUACAUCGUUGUCGUCAGUUCAUGCCGUGAGGUAUUAUAUUAAGUUAUUAAAUGAACGUAACCCUUUCUCUUACAUAGAGAUAUUUAUUAUUUUACGAUAAUAGGAAGUAGAGGUUGAAGACUAAUCAUGAUGACCCUAAUGAGAUGGGCUAUAGACGUGUUACAAUAUUAUUUACAAUUAUAGUAUAUCUUUUAUAUUUUAAAAUAUACUUAUUUAAAUGAUAAGAAUAUGACAUAGUUUUCUUUUAUGGAUUGUAAUCUGAAAUUCGGUUACAUAAAGGAGGAAUUGCUAGUAAUCGCGAACUAGAGUGUCGCGGUGAAAUUUUUUGCUACUUCGUACUAACCACUCAUCAACAGCAAGAAAUUUUUAUUUUCCUCUUGAUUUAAUAUCCCCUUGGGGAUAUCUACUUUAUAUGAGGUUAAUUGAUAAAGG
rnacentral:rRNA from 1 species